rnacentral:lncRNA from 1 species
UCCAAUGUGGCCCAAUUUCAAUUGUGUUUAUAAUUAUAUUACUCAUGUACUAUUUCAAUUUUUCAAUUUUUUUUUAUGUGUUAUGAUUUUUUUUAAAGAUUAAGCUAUUCGGUUUAAUAACUAUAUAGUUUUAUCAUAGAGACCGGUUCAUUCCACCGAUUUAAUCCGGUUUAAUUCGGUUUAUCAUGCGGUUCGACCAGUGACCCGGUGGUUCGACCAAUGAACCAGUGAACCAGUACCAUCAUCGGUUCGAUGUCCAAUCCGGUUUUUAAAACA